rnacentral:lncRNA from 1 species
UAUACUCAGCAGUGCCGCAAUAACAGACCCCCCGAACGAUCGUCUUAUUUACACCCCUCCUCCCAUCGUUUUGAGCUUCUUCUUCAGAGAAGAAAAGCCAAAUUCCAUGGCGUCUUCCUAACCCAAAAAACGACCAGCACCCUAGAACACAAGCCAGUAGGCGUUACACCCAUCAAGACCCUUCAUCUUCCUCAAGUUAACAAAAAUCUAGAGACCUAGCUUCAGCUUCAGCUCCCUUCACCCAUCGUUGUUUCUGCUUUUCUCGUCCAUAACAUCUCAUCGGAAAAUGCCGCAAACAACUUCAAAUACCAGUCAAAAGCACAACAUGCUGCUGCUUGUCUUCUUCCUUCAAAACUGACCUCCAAUCUCCGUUGCAACAAGCUGUAGAACCAGCUCUAAGAACAUGAAAACAGGAGUUCAAACUGCAGCUCGGUGCCAUGAAAAUAGCGGCGUGUGUGCGAAUUUUCUGAUUCUCGCUGGACUUUCAGAUCCGGCUAUUUUUUUAAAACUUUCCAGCGAGUUCCGAGUUUGUCCAGAUGAGGUUUUGUCCAAGGUUCAGUUACUUGAGCUCGAUCGGUUUCGAGGUCGCCAACGCGGUUCAUUGGCUUGAUUCAAAUGUUGUUGUGUUUUGCGCAAAAAGUCCGUUUGGAGCACUUUGUUAAUAAAGUCAGGAAGUUUUCACAUUAUUAAAGGUCCAUUAUUUCUACCUUUCUUUACUAUUUUUAGUUGAAUAUUGUUUGCUAUUUGUCUCUGUUAAACCAUUUGAUUGCUUUAUGUGGUUAAAGAUUUUGAAAGAAUAUUAUAUUGUUUGUUCCCUAUUUUGUUCAUGAGAUUUAUAUGGUCAGUGAGUUUAGUCGAUUAAGAUAAAAUAUUAAAAUUGAAUUAAGUGUAAAUUUUGUGAAAUGGACAUCAUGAAGAAUUAGGCUUGGGCUAGUAUUAUGUUUAAUUCUUUUACAUCCUUUCUUUCUCUUUCUUUCUUGUUGUUAAUUAUUUGAGUUUAUAAUUGUCUCGAAUGCAUAGUUGUUUGUUUGUUUAUGUUGGUCAUAUGAUAUGAAGGGAUAUAAGGGGUUUCGAGUAAUUGGAUUAUUAUUGGGUCUAAAUAAUAGUGAUUGAGAGAUAUGGGCCGCGUUAUAUCCAAAGUCCGUUAAAUAAUAAAAGGCAUGGAAAUAACAAUUGUGUGAAUGAGUGAGGCGAGUCGCGAAUUAAUUCAAAGACUCGUCGCAAAAGAGAAAGGAAAGAGUAAAAAAUAGAUAAAACAAAUGUCUCAAUUGCAAGAGACAAAUAAUUAACAAUAUCUCUAGUAUACUCUAUGCGCGUAUUAACCAAUAAACCAUCAUGAUUGUGGGUACUGUUCCCACAGCAUGGUUACGAUAUAUAAAUCUCAAUUUGGGGGUGCAUUUCAUGUAACUCUAUUAUAACAACUUCGAAUAAUGUAAUCCUUGGAAAUUAGAAAUCGAGGCGUGCCAUUUAGCGAAUUUUCAUGGCCCUCGCGAAGUUGCAAGUGCGUAGUUGCUUUAGGCGCGCUAUUUAAAUUAAUUUCCUUAAACUCGGGUGUGCAUUUCAUGUGACCCAACUCCAAUUCUCAAUAACGUUAAAUAAAAUAUGUCGUGGAUCGCGGGUGCAUUUCAUGUGGCGUGGUUCAAGACAUGUUUUAAAUAACGUUGAAUCUUCCUAAAAAAUAAUUAAAAGCGGUUUAAUAAGUUAAAAUGUACCAUAGGCUAAAACAUGUAUUAAAAUCAAAUAAUAAGCCAAUUUUAAUAGUUUAAGCGACUGUGCUAGAACCACGGAACUCGGAAAUGCCUAACACUUUCUCCCGGGUUAACAAAAUUUCUUACCCGGAUUUCUGGUGUGCGGACUAUUAAACAGAGUCAAUCUUUUCCUCGAUUCGGGAUUUGAACCGGUGACUUGGGAUACCCUAAAAUUAUCUCUAGUGGCGACUCUGAAUUUAAUAAAUAAAUAAUCUCGUUUCGAUUGUCACUUAAAUUGGAAAAAUUCUCUAUAUGCCCCUUUCGGGGUGUAGGAAAAAGGAGGUGUGACACAUGGGGACGGAUUGGCCUUCCUCGGUACUGAGUGACUGAUGAUCAGUGAUGUAUAUAUUUCGGGAUGGAUCUUCCUGGGCCGUAUGGGCCAUAUACAGUAUCGAGUGGUUAAGUAUUGAUGAGAGGAAAGUGUGAGACAAUGAGAUUGAGUACUCUAAGAGUGGGACUACAUGAUUCAUCUCUGGGAUACACGACAUUAGCAUGCACACAUGACAUACAUGCAUAGAGAUGCAUUUUUCCUCGUGUUGUACGGUAUCAUGUCGUUCUUGAAUUUUUUACACACACUGAUAUGUGCGCAUAGCGAGGUAUUUAACACAUGUUAUCUGGAAAGAAAAAUGAAACAUCUUAUUUAUUGUGAAAAAGGAUUUUUGGAAAAAUUUAGAGUUUUCAAACUAUCUCUUAUUUUAUGACGAUUUCGAUAAAGGAUUUGAGUUUUCACUGAUAUUCUUGAAAAGCGGAACUAUUUUUCGGAAAAACUAUGAAAAAGUUGAGCAUCUUAUCUCUGAGUUACUUCCUUAUUUAUAUGUUUUACGUUGUUAUGAAUUAUUGUUGGCUAUUGGUGUUGGACCCGAUCAUGUCCAGCUCGUCACUACUUUCAACCUAAGGUUAGGUUUAUUACUUAUUGAGUAUUUGAGGUCGGUUGUACUCAUACUACACUUCUGCACCUUGCGUGCAGAUGUUAACUGAUGAUGAUGCUGCGAUCGACGGGAGCUAGGAUUGAAGAUGUAAUUGUGUUUCUGUUGUAGCUGUCUCUUGUUCAUGGUAGCCUUAGAUUCAUAGAACUCUGUUUAUGUACUUUUCAAACAGAAGGUGUAUUUACUUCCUAUCAACUUUGUAAACUCUAUUCUUAAAAGCUCAUGAUUUGUACUACCAGUCCUUGGAAAUGUAUAAAAUUCAGUUAACUUCUCUAUUUAAUUGUUUGACUUACUUCAUUGGAAUUGGAUAGUUAUUAGUUGGCUUAACAAGCGGGUUGGGUUAGGUGCCAUCACUACUAGUGGAUUUUGGGUCGUGACAGUAAAUUUCUCUACUCUUAUUGAAUCGGGUCGUUCACCUCAGCACUGAAAAAAUUACUCUUAUAGGAUCGGGUCGUUCUCCUCGGUAGUAUGGUGACACUAUUCUUAUGGGAUCGGGUCGUUCACCUCGGUAGAAUGGUUACACUAUUCUUAUGGGAUCAAGUCGCUCUCCUAGGCAGUACUGAGCACCACUAUUCCUAUGGGAUCAAGCCGAUCGCCUCGGCAACUUUGUGCUUAAUAAUUGAGACUGGAUUUGGCUUGCUAACAGUUGAGUUAGCGCCUUCAAGGUCUUUAUGACAUGUUUAGUGAUUUGAUAUAAACUAAUGUGUGGAAUUACUGUAGUUACUUUUAUUUGCUUUAUUGCUACUUGUUGUACACUCACCAUAUCUACUUUAUGUAUUUCUAUUAUUAUUUAACCUCUAAUAAGUGUCAAGUCGACCCCACGUCUCUACUUCUUCGAGGUUAGACUAUGUACUUACUGGUUACGCGUUAUUUUCUGCACUCGCGUUAUACUUCUGCACUGAAUGUGCAGGUACUGAGACAGGUACUACCAGUGGUCAUGCGGGUGUAGCUGAUCUCCUACGGAGACUUAUUGGUGAGCUGUUUGUCUUGCUACAAUAUGCAACACCGAAUUCUUCCUCUGUCUUGUUUAUUAUUUCUGUCUAUUGCCUUUUAGACAACAGUUGUAUUAGUUUUGUAUAUUCUCUAGAUUGCUCAUGCACUUGUG